UAUAAUUGUAGUUAACUACAUAUUUACAAUGAAAUUGGCAGGUUUCUUCUUCAUAUUGGUGGCUAUUUUAGCCUUUUUUGUUGGUAAUGGGGAUUGUUCACUUGGACAAGCAGUAAAAACUGGCGUUAAUGUUAUUAAAGGUGCCGCCGGUGUCGCCAGUGCUGCUGGGACUGCUCACGAAAUAUAUGAAGGUGUGAAGAACCAUUGAACAUGUAUUAUGUUUCUUUUCUAAAAAUAUAAUUGCGAAAA